AAGGGUGUUGUUUUACAUUUCCAUUGAGAAAUUUUAACCAAAGUAUGUUAUAGAGUUUUCAUUAACAUGCUAAAGAAUCAUAUCACUUUGUGGAAAAUGGGCAUCCGAUGACCCCUUUAAACUAUAUUCUCGUGGUGUUUGUU